rnacentral:rRNA from 1 species
UGGGGAAUUUUGGACAAUGGGCGAAAGCCUGAUCCAGCAAUGCCGCGUGUGCGAUGAAGGCCUUCGGGUUGUAAAGCACUUUUGGCAGGGAAGAAACAGCCUGGGAUAAUACCCCGGGCGACUGACGGUACCUGCAGAAUAAGCACCGGCUAACUACGUGCCAGCAGCCGCGGUAAUACGUAGGGUGCAAGCGUUAAUCGGAAUUACUGGGCGUAAAGCGUGCGCAGGCGGUUCGGAAAGAAAGGUGUGAAAUCCCAGGGCUUAACCUUGGAACUGCACUUUUAACUACCGAGCUAGAGUACGUCAGAGGGGGGUAGAAUUCCACGUGUAGCAGUGAAAUGCGUAGAGAUGUGGAGGAAUACCGAUGGCGAAGGCAGCCCCCUGGGAUGAUACUGACGCUCAUGCACGAAAGCGUGGGGAGCAAACAGGAUUAGAUACCCUGGUAGUCCACGCCCUAAACGAUGUCAACUAGCUGUUGGGGUUUUAUUAACCUUAGUAGCGCAGCUAACGCGUGAAGUUGACCGCCUGGGGAGUACGGUCGCAAGAUUAAAACUC